GAGACAAACAACUGCGAAAGCAUUUGCCUAAAAUACUUCCAUUAAUCAAGAACGAAAGUUAAGGGAGUGAAGACGAUCAGAUACCGUCGUAAUCUUAACCAUAAACUAUGCCGACUAGGCUUUGGAUGAAAGAUUUUAAAAUAAGAGUUUUCUCUUCGGAGUUUACUCUUAGAUUGCUUCCUUCAGUGCCUUAUGAGAAAUCAAAGUCUUUGGGUUCUGGGGCGAGUAUUCGCGCAAGCGAGAAAGUUAAAAGAAUUGACGGAAGGGCACCACCAGGCGUGGAGCUUGCG
rnacentral:rRNA from 1 species